AUUGAACGCUGGCGGCAUGCUUUACACAUGCAAGUCGAACGGCAGCGCGGGCUUCGGCCUGGCGGCGAGUGGCGAACGGGUGAGUAAUACAUCGGAACGUGCCCAGUAGUGGGGGAUAGCUCGGCGAAAGCCGGAUUAAUACCGCAUACGACCUGAGGGUGAAAGCGGGGGAUCUUCGGACCUCGCGCUAUUGGAGCGGCCGAUGGCAGAUUAGCUAGUUGGUGGGGUAAAGGCAUACCAAGGCGACGAUCUGUAGCUGGUCUGAGAGGACGACCAGCCACACUGGGACUGAGACACGGCCCAGACUCCUACGGGAGGCAGCAGUGGGGAAUUUUGGACAAUGGGCGAAAGCCUGAUCCAGCAAUGCCGCGUGUGUGAUGAAGGCCUUCGGGUUGUAAAGCACUUUUGGCGGGAACGAAAAGGACUGUGCCAAUACCACGGUUCGAUGACGGUACCCGCAGAAUAAGCACCGGCUAACUACGUG
rnacentral:rRNA from 1 species